rnacentral:snoRNA from 1 species
AAGACUACACUUUUCAGGGAUAAUUUCUAUAGUUCAUUACUAGAGAAGUUUCUCUGAAUAUGUAGAGCACCAUAAAAUAAAUUUUAUU